GGGUCAUGUUUUUCUUGGUCGUGAUAACUUAACGUGGGGAUAGGUGAGGCAGGUAGUAUAUAAGACGUCGACACCUCCACAACAGCUAGACUACCAUCAACUGAUACCAUGAAGUUGUUAGUGAUCAUGGUGAGCGGCGCCCUCCUGGUGGGGUCGUGCAUAGCAGAUGGUACCUACAAUCGUGGCUCUGGAGGAGGAAGUUUCACACCUGGCCCCAGCUUUCACCCAUCCAGGUUCCCGUCAGGCGGUGGCGGUGGAAGAUAUUCUGGUGGUGGUGGUGGUGGUGGCGGUGGUGGUGAUGGUGGCGGUGGUGAUGGUGGCGGUGGUGGUGAUGGUGGCGGUUUAAAUAUCGUCCAGGCCAAUAGUGUCCUCCUUGGUUCAUCAAAUAUUGGUAGCGGUUAUGGCCCCAGGGGGGGUGGUGGCCCUGUCGGUGGCCAUCGGAGGUUCAUUGGUGGUGGCAGUAGUUACGGGAGGUAAUAAUUUUAUGAUGUAUUUGUACUGUUGUCACUGAUAUUAUUUUUUUACAAUAAUGAAAGAUUUUCAAUAAAAUUUCUGGAUUUGUAAA